ACCGUAUAGGUAUAUGUAUUAUUUCUGGGACAAAUUUUAGUAUUUUAUUCGUAAUCGUAACUAUUGUUCAUUAACCCAUACAUUAUUUUAUGCAAAAUACCUUCCGGUAGUAGGAAAAGAACGAAGUGAAAUUCUUUUAUAAAAAUAACAAGUUCUAUAUGUGUUGAAUUAUCGACCAAUGGUGCAAAGCAAGUUCAGUGAAAUAACUAACUUGAUAAAGUUAAAUUAAAUGAA